AUUGAACGCUGGCGGCAGGCCUAACACAUGCAAGUCGAACGAGUGGCGGACGGGUGAGUAAUGUCUGGGAAACUGCCUGAUGGAGGGGGAUAACUACUGGAAACGGUAGCUAAUACCGCAUACCAUCGGAUGUGCCCAGAUGGGAUUAGCUAGUAGGUGGGGUAACGGCUCACCUAGGCGACGAUCCCUAGCUGGUCUGAGAGGAUGCCCAGCCAAACUGGAACUGAGCCACGGUCCAGAGUCCGACGCGAGGCAGCAGGGGGGAAUGUUGCACAAUGGGCGCGAGCCUGAUAUAGCCAUGCCGCGUGUAUGAAGAAGGCCUUCGGGUUGUAAAGUACUUUCAGCGGGGAGGCGUUACCCGCAGAAGAAGCACCGGCUAACUCCGUGCCAGCAGCCGCGGUAAUAC
rnacentral:rRNA from 1 species